rnacentral:miRNA from 1 species
GAGGGGGAGGAGAGGAGGAA